rnacentral:misc_RNA from 1 species
AAAGUCGUAACAAGGUUUCCGUAGGUGAACCUGCGGAAGGAUCAUUAACAAAUCUGUUGUGCGAGGCGCAAGCCUUUGCACAAAUAAACCCCAAGCUGGCCCGAAAGGGUCGGCUUUGGUUGGGCCGCAAGGCUCAGGUCUAGUGUGCGCAAGCAUGCUGACCACAUAGACGCUUGUAUGUUUGACAGAGUUUACAGUUGUAAAUGAAUAAUGACAACUUUUAACAAUGGAUCUCUUGGCUCUU